CCUUCGAUAGCUCAGUUGGUAGAGCGGGGGACUGUAGAUUUAUAAUUGUGAUCCCUAGGUCGCUGGUUCGAAUCUGGCUCGAAGUA
rfam:Nematostella vectensis strain CH2 x CH6 NEMVEscaffold_40_Cont6579, whole genome shotgun sequence.